rnacentral:rRNA from 1 species
GAUGAACGCUGGCGGCGUGCCUAAUACAUGCAAGUCGAGCGAACGGACGAGAAGCUUGCUUCUCUGAUGUUAGCGGCGGACGGGUGAGUAACACGUGGAUAACCUACCUAUAAGACUGGGAUAACUUCGGGAAACCGUAGCUAAUACCGGAUAAUAUUUUGAACCGCAUGGUUCAAAAGUGAAAGACGGUCUUUCUGUCACUUAUAGCUGGAUCCGCGCUGCAUUAGCUAGUUGGUAAGGUAACGGCUUACCAAGGCAACGAUGCAUAGCCGACCUGAGAGGGUGAUCGGCCAGACUGGAACUGAGACACGGUCCAGACUCCUACGGGAGGCAGCAGUAGGGAAUCUUCCGCAAUGGGCGAAGGCCUGACGGAGCAACGCCGCGGGAGUGAUGAUGGUCUUCGGAUCGUAAAACUCUGUUAUUAGUGAAGAACAUAUGUGUAAGUAACUGUGCACAUCUUGACGGUACCUAAUCAGAAAGCCACGGCUAACUACGUG